UACAGAGGGGGCUAGUGUUAUUCGGAAUUAUUGGGCGUAAAGGGCGCGUAGGCGGCCAUGCGUGUCUUCCGUGAAAUCCCUCGGCUUAACUGAGGACGUGCGGAAGAAACUGCAAGGCUCGAGUCCGGGAGAGGGGGGUGGAAUUUCCAGUGUAGCGGUGAAAUGCGUAGAUAUCUGGAGGAACACCGGUGGCGAAGGCGGCAUCCUGGACCAAUACUGACACUGAAAAGCGAAAGCCAGGGGAGCAAACGGG
rnacentral:rRNA from 1 species